rnacentral:lncRNA from 1 species
AGCUCAGGCACUUGGCUGGAAUCCGAGUCUUUGUAGAGGGCCCCCCCAGGCCAGCAGGAUGGGAAGUAAUACCCCCAUUCUCCAUGCACCAGGCGGUGCUGCCUGGCCUCCAGGGUGUAGAUGCCGAAGCGUAUGGUUUGUGCAGAGAACAGUGACAGUCAGACCUUGGUCAUCAGGCAGCCAUCCACAUGGCCUUCUUAUCUGUGAAAUGGGGGCAGCACUGAGGCCUUUCGAUGCUGCUGAGGAUGAGACCUGCUUAUGUGUCUCUGCACUGGUUAGAGGUAGAUCUGGAGAAGGGGUUCCAGGAAGCCUCAGGCGGGGUCAGGCACAGCUAAUGCUGUUUCCUCCCCUUGCAGUACGGGAACUCCGGGGGACCGCUGGUGAACCUGGAUGGCGAGGUCAUUGGCAUCAACACGCUCAAGGUCACGGCUGGCAUCUCCUUUGCCAUCCCCUCAGACCGCAUCACACGGUUCCUCACAGAGUUCCAAGACAAGCAGAUCAAAGGUCCUGUCUGCCCACCCCAAAGCUGUGAGACCCCCAGGACAGCUUAUCCUCAGCCUCUUUCAGGAUCUUCCCCCUGCCUAUCAUCGAUUCGUGAUCGGCUUCAUCCCCUGCCCCUCCAAGGCUGUCUCCUUUUGGCUGGAGAAUCUCCGAUCUCAGCUCCUACCAUCAGCUUCCUGGACUCCCUGGGCUCCUCUCAUUUGGGCUGCUCCUUAGUUGUCAGGUGUUUCUUUCCUUCUAUCCGUCCGUCCAUCCAUCCAUUCAUCCAUCCAUCCAUCCAUCCACCCACCCAUCCAUCCAUCCACCCACCCACCCACCUAUCCGCCCAUCCAUUCACCCAUCCAUUCACCCAUCCAUCCAUCCAUCCAUCUAUCCAUCCAUCCAUCCGUCUGUCCGUCCGUCCAUCCAUCCAUCCAUCCAUCCACCCACCCACCUAUCCACCCAUCCAUUCACCCAUCCAUUCAUCCAUCCAUCCAUCCAUCCAUCCAUCCGUCCGUCCGUCCGUCCGUCCGUCCGUCCAUCCAUCCAUCCACCCACCCACCUAUCCACCCAUCCAUUCACUCAUUCAUCCAUCCAUCCAUCCACCCACCCACCCAUCCACCCACCUAUCCAUCCAUCUAUCCAUUCACCCACCCAUCCAUCUAUCCAUCCACCAUCCAUCCACCCACACCUUUCUACCCAUCCAUCCACCCACCCCCACCCAUCUUUCCACCCACCCAUUUGCCAUUCAUCCAUCCAUCCAUCCAUCCACUUAUCCACCCAUCCCCCCACCCAUCCAUCUAUCCAUCCAUCCAUCCAUCCAUCCACUUAUCCACCCAUCCACCCACCCAUCCAUCUAUCCAUCCAUUCACCCAUCCAUUCAUUCAUUCAUCCGUCCAUCCAUCCGCCCAUUCAUCCGUCCAUCCAUCCGCCCACCCAGCCACCCAUCCAUCCACCCACCCACCCA